AUUAGGCGGGGCGGCGAGUCCGACUCAUAAAUAUUUUAAGGAAUGACCCGGCCCUGGGGUGCGGAAUUGCUGCGCGGGCGGGGGC